UGGGGAAUAUUGCACAACGGGCGCAAGCCUGAUGCAGCCAUGCCGCGUGUAUGAAGAAGGCCUUCGGGUUGUAAAGUACUUUCAGCGGGGAGGAAGGGAGUAAAGUUAAUACCUUUGCUCAUUGACGUUACCCGCAGAAGAAGCACCGGCUAACUCCGUGCCAGCAGCCGCGGUAAUACGGAGGGUGCAAGCGUUAAUCGGAAUUACUGGGCGUAAAGCGCACGCAGGCGGUUGAUUGAGUCAGAUGUGAAUCCCCGGGCUUAACCCGGAAAUUGCAUCUGAUACUGGUCAGCUAGAGGCUUGUAGAGGGGGGUAGAAUUCCAUGUGUAGCGGUGAAAAGCGUAGAGAUGUGGAGGAAUACCGGUGGCGAAGGCGGCCCCCUGGACAAAGACUGAAGCUAAGGUGCGAAAGCGUGGGGAGCAAACAGG
rnacentral:rRNA from 1 species